CAGUCGCCACGGUAAUACGAAGGGGGCUAGCGUUGCUCGGAAUGACUGGGCGUAAAGGGCGCGUAGGCGGUUCGUACAGUCGGAUGUGAAAUUCCUGGGCUUAACCUGGGGACUGCAUUCGAUACGUGCGGGCUUGAGUGUGGAAGAGGGUUGUGGAAUUCCCAGUGUAGAGGUGAAAUUCGUAGAUAUAUGGAGGAACACCGGUGGCGAAAGCGGCUCUCUGGCUUGUAACUGACGCUGAGGCUCGAAAGCGUGGGGAGCAAACAGGAUUAGAUACCCGGGUAGUCCCUGUCUCUUAUAC
rnacentral:rRNA from 1 species